rnacentral:tRNA from 1 species
GCCCCGGUCGCCGGCCGGGGCGGGCGCGGCCCGGCCGGCCGCCCGGGGCGCCCGGGCCUUCGGCGCGGGCUUCGGCUUCCCGGCCGGGGCG